UACGUAGGGGGCAAGCGUUGUCCGGAAUCAUUGGGCGUAAAGAGCGUGUAGGCGGCCCGGUAAGUCCGCUGUGAAAGUCCAGGGCUCAACCCUGGGAUGCCGGUGGAUACUGUCGGGCUCGAGUCCGGAAGAGGAGUGUGGAAUUCCUGGUGUAGCGGUGAAAUGCGCAGAUAUCAGGAGGAACACCAAUGGCGAAGGCGGCAUCCUGGACCGGUAUUGACGCUGAGGCGCGAAAGCCAGGGGAGCAAACGGG
rnacentral:rRNA from 1 species